CAAAAGUGGAGAUCAGAAACCACUAUAAAUAACGAGGCGGUUUCCGAAAAGCCAAACGAGUAGGAAAACC
rfam:Chryseobacterium takakiae strain DSM 26898 genome assembly, contig: Ga0131160_103